UAUCAUUCGAUCAUCUACCUCCAGUAUCUCCUUCCAGAAAUACUCCAAGACUGAUUCCACAAAUAAGGUUCAAUGGAAGAACCAAUUAAAUUAGGGUUCUAUGUCUAUUCGAUUAUCUUCUUCCAGAAAUACUCCCAAGAGAGUCUGAAGAACACUUGCGAAGGUGAAAGGUUUAAUCGAAGGUGCUGCUGAUUGGUUCUCUCCUUCGAAAGGUGCGAUUGAAGAGCAAACAAAUGAACAAAGAAGACAAAUGAACAAAGAUAUCUGGGGUUCUCAAAAAAAAAA